GAGAGCCGGAUGCGGGAAAACCGCCAGUCCGGUUCGGAGGGAGGGGGAGCCGAAACCAAUCGGUUCUCCCUACCCCUAU
rfam:Cyanobacteria bacterium 13_1_40CM_2_61_4 13_1_40cm_2_scaffold_37859, whole genome shotgun sequence.